UGAACGCUAGCGACAGGCUAACACAUGCAAGUCGAGGGGUAACAGGGUAGCAAUACCGCUGACGACCGGCGCACGGGUGAGUAACGCGUAUGCAACCUGCCUAUAACUGGGGAAUAGCUCCCUGAAAGGGGAAUUAACACCGCAUAACACUAUUGAUUCGCAUGGAUUAGUAGUUAAAUGUAGCGAUACAGGUUAUAGAUGGGCAUGCGUGACAUUAGCUAGUUGGUGAGGUAACGGCUCACCAAGGCUACGAUGUCUAGGGGUUCUGAGAGGAAGGUCCCCCACACUGGUACUGAGACACGGACCAGACUCCUACGGGAGGCAGCAGUGAGGAAUAUUGGUCAAUGGGCGCAAGCCUGAACCAGCCAUGUCGCGUGCAGGAAGACUGCCCUAAUGGGUUGUAAACUGCUUUUAUAGUAGAAGAAACACAUCUACGUGUAGAUGUCUGCCAGUAUACUAUGAAUAAGCAUCGGCUAACUCCGUGCCAGCAGCCGC
rnacentral:rRNA from 1 species